AUUGAACGCUGGCGGCAGGCCUAACACAUGCACGUCGAGCGAGCGGCGGACGGUGGAGUAAUGUAUGGGGACUGCCCGAUAGAGGGGGAUAACUACUGGAAACGGUAGCUAAUACCGCAUACUAUCGGAUAACCCAUAUGGGAGUAGCUAGUAGGUGAGGUAAUGGCUCACCUAGGCGACGAUCCCUAGCUGGUCUGAGAGGAUGAUGAGCGCGCCGGCGACUGAGCCACGGCCCCGACUCCUCCGGGGGAAGCGGGGGGGAAUAUUGCAACAUGGGCGCAAGCCUGAUGCAGCCAUGCCGCGUGUAUGAAGAAGGCCCUAGGGUUGUAAAGUACUUUCAGUCGGGAGGCGUUACCGACAGAAGAAGCGCCGGCUAACUCCGUGCCAGCAGCCGCGGUAAUUC
rnacentral:rRNA from 1 species